UACGUAGGGCGCAAGCGUUGUCCGGAAUUAUUGGGCGUAAAGAGCUCGUAGGCGGCCUGUUGCGUCCGCUGUGAAAUCCCGGGGCUUAACCCCGGGUCUGCAGUGGAUACGGGCAGGCUAGAGGCAGGCAGGGGAGAACGGAAUUCCCGGUGUAGCGGUGAAAUGCGUAGAGAUCGGGAGGAACACCAGUGGCGAAGGCGGCACCCUGGACCAGCACUGACACUGAGGCACGAAAGCGUGGGGAGCAAACAGG
rnacentral:rRNA from 1 species